ensembl:lncRNA
CCCAACUUUGUUUCAUUGAUUUCAGACCUUUGCGCUCCUGUCGCCUUUGCGGAUUUGUAGGGUGGAAGAAAACACAGACAGUCGGACAUUCAUUUAUCCGAAGUGUGGAGAUUAAAAACGAAAACUAAAAAGUUUGAGAGUGAGAAAACUUUUAUCUGGAGUCAUGUGUCAACGUUAUGAGUGGAGACUAAAGAAAAGGGAGUCAGAGCCGGGAUGUUACUGCGUAAAAGUUCGCAAAAUGUGGGACCACCAACUGAUGGAAGGAGGCAGUGGAGGUGUGGCUGCUUGUUGAGGGGCUAGGCACGUGAGGUGGAAUCCUCCCGAUGCAUGCGAGUGUACACACCGGGCAUAGGUAGAUUGCACCGUUUAGUGUGAGUGAGGUCUGCAGUGAAAUCACAUGGAUGCUUUCACAGUGGAGACAAUAUUCUUCCAAGCGGGGCUGGGGAGUGCGAGGCAUCAACAAGUUCUAAAUAUGGAAAAGGAGAAUAGACCCCACGAGGUGACAGAGGAUAAAACUGAAAACUGUGAGCUGGAGAGAUGGGCGCAUACUCUGGCUUAUGUUCAUCUGAGGGAGUCGAGGAGCUGCAGGAGACAAACAGGAUGUCUGUGGGAGGACAGAUGAGAGAGGGGUGCAGUUUCCUCAGCGCAGCGAGGUCUGGCUGCCAGAGAGGCUGCGGAGUGCACUGGCUGUGGCCUCUGCUGACUGGCUUUCCACACAGCGUCUGUGGAGGCAGAGAUAAGCGAUUUAUGGAGGGGGCUGGAGAAUAUCUCAGCUGUCGUGGGGGAAGAGGGAGGACACACCCUGGACAAGACGUCAGUCUGUCCCAGGCAGGCAACAGGCAACCAUUCAAUCCCACAACCAAUUUAGAAUCACCAAUUAAACUAACCCAUGCAUGUUUUUGGACUGUGGGAGGAUGCUGGAGUACCCAGAAAGAACCCACACAAGCACAGGCAGAACAUGCAAUCACCAAACAGAAAGGCCAGAGCCACGAAUUGAACCUAGGAUCUUUUUACUGUGAGGCAACAGUGCUAACCACCAUCACCACUGCACCAGCCCAACUAAACUCAUGACAGGAAGUAGCUCCCCCUAAUUUCUACCUAAUGCUUAAUUCAUGGUCACCACAUUGGUUGCUGCAUGUGCCAGCUGUGACAUCAUCACAGAAUCAUCACUAUUCAGUUGAUUCAUACUAAAUUUUUUGCAGUCUUCUGAGCGACAGGUGUCAAAGGAACAAGUGAAGAAACACUUUAUAAUAUGUAUGUGUCUAAGGGUGUACUUCCCCUGUUAUUGAAUGGAAUUUCAAAGUAUUUUAUCUGAAACUAAAAUGUAUAUAUAUUUACCUACAAAUACGUAAAGGUACCCCACAAUAAUAGGGUAAAGUAAAAGUAAAGUAAGACCGUUUAAAUAGUGUGUAAGUAAUUUUAAUUAAUUCAUUAGCAAUUUUACAUAGCUUCAGGUAUUUUACAAGAAAGAAGAAAUAAUUACAUUGAAGGUCAAUUUAGGUAAUGCAUAAAUAAUUAAAUAAGUGAAUAGGAAAGAAGUGCCUAAAUUCUGGCUACUUUACAGGAAAGGAGACACACACAAUACUAUAAGCAAUUUUAAGUAACUUCAUGUAUUUUACAGGAAAGAAAAAAUAAUUAGAUUGUAAGUAAUUUAGGUACUGCAUAAGUAUUUUUAAGUAGUACAUCUAGGUAUGGUGUAUAUUUGUCCAUGAUGGAUGUUAUAUUUU